GCAGAGCACCCCUACGGGAGGCAGCAGUGGGGAAUAUUGCACAAUGGGCGCAAGCCUGAUGCAGCCAUGCCGCGUGUAUGAAGAAGGCCUUCGGGUUGUAAAGUACUUUCAGCAGUGAGGAAGGUGGGUAUGUUAAUAGCAUAUUCAUUUGACGUUAGCUGCAGAAGAAGCACCGGCUAACUCCGUGCCAGCAGCCGCGGUAAUACGGAGGGUGCGAGCGUUAAUCGGAAUUACUGGGCGUAAAGCGCAUGCAGGUGGUUUGUUAAGUCAGAUGUGAAAGCCCGGGGCUCAACCUCGGAAUUGCAUUUGAAACUGGCAAACUAGAGUACUGUAGAGGGGGUAGAAUUUCAGGUGUAGCGGUGAAAUGCGUAGAGAUCUGAAGGAAUACCGGUGGCGAAGGCGGCCCCCUGGACAGAUACUGACACUCAGAUGCGAAAGCGUGGGGAGCAAACAGGAUUAGAUACCCUGGUAG
rnacentral:rRNA from 1 species